AAGGAAGAUGGCUGAGGCCUAGAGCCUCACCUAAUCCUGGUCGAUCUACCAACUCAACAUACGAGUCGGUAGUCAAUCAAAGCGAAGCUUGUUCAAGUAAGUGUGCUGCUCAGUUUUGAGGGUCUAACCCUCGGACGCCUUAACGGGCGUCUUUUGCACCUUGAAAACUGCACAGUGGAAAGAGAAAAGCCGUAACAAAACCUCGUGAGAGGUCAAGCUAGAAAGGGCAUGCGGUGAAUGCCUUGGCGCCAGGUGCCGAAGAAGGACGCGGUAAGCUGCGAAAAGCCUCGGGGAGCUGCAAGCAAGCUUCGAUCCGAGGGUCUCCG
rnacentral:misc_RNA from 1 species